rfam:Erinaceus europaeus unplaced genomic scaffold scaffold00740, whole genome shotgun sequence
AAAAAGGCCCUUUUUAGGGCCACCACAUUUUCUUUUCAAGAGCCGU